rnacentral:tRNA from 1 species
GGGGCCUUAGCUCAGCUGGGAGAGCGCGUCGUUCGCAAUGACGAGGUCAGGGGUUCGAUCCCCCUAGGCUCC